CCUACGGGUGGCAGCAGUCGAGAAUCAUUCACAAUGGGGGAAACCCUGAUGGUGCGACGCCGCGUGGGGGAAUGAAGGUCUUCGGAUUGUAAACCCCUGUCAUGUGGGAGCAAAUUAAAAAGAUAGUACCACAAGAGGAAGAGACGGCUAACUCUGUGCCAGCAGCCGCGGUAAUACAGAGGUCUCAAGCGUUGUUCGGAAUCACUGGGCGUAAGGCGUGCGUAGGCUGUUUCGUAAGUCGUGUGUGAAAGGCGCGGGCUCAACCCGCGGACGGCACAUGAUAAUGCGAGACUAGAGUAAUGGAGGGGGACCGGAAUUCUCGGUGUAGCAGUGAAAUGCGUAGAUAUCGAGAGGAACACUCGUGGCGAAGGCGGGUUCCUGGACAUUAACUGACGCUGAGGCACGAAGGCCAGGGGAGCGAAAGGGAUUAGAUACCCGGGUAGUC
rnacentral:rRNA from 1 species